ACGUAGGUGACGAGCGUUAUCCGGAUUUACUGGGCGUAAAGCGCUUGUAGGUGGUUGCGUAAGUUGGACGUUAAAUCUCUGGGCUCAACUCAGAGAGGCCGUUCAAUACUGCGUGGCUAGAGGAUGUCAGAGGAAGGUGGAAUUCCAGGUGUAGUAGUGAAAUGCGUAGAUAUCUGGAGGAACACCCAUGGCGAAGGCAGCCUUCUGGGGCAUUCCUGACACUGAGAAGCGAAAGCUAGGGGAGCAAACAGGAUUAGAAACCCUGGUAGUCCUAGCUGUAAACGAUGAAUGCUAGGUGUUGGCGGCUUUAACCCCGUCUGUGCCGAAGCUAACGCGUUAAGCAUUCCGCCUGGGAAGUACGAUCGCAAGAUUA
rnacentral:rRNA from 1 species